AGCGAACGCUGGCGGCAGGCCUAACACAUGCAAGUCGCACGAAGCCUUCGGGCUUAGUGGCGGACGGGUGAGUAACAAGUGGGAACGUACCUUUUGGUUCGGAACACCUCGGGGAAACUUGAGUUAAUACCGGAUGAGCCCUUAGGGGGAAAGAUUUAUUGCCGAACGAGCGGCCCGCGUUAGAUAAGCUAGUUGGUGAGGUAAAGGCUCACCAAGGCAACUAUCUAUAGCUGGUCUGAGAGGAUGAUCAGCCACACUGUGACUGAGACACGGCCCAGACUCCUACGGGAGGCAGCAGUGGGGAAUCUUGCGCAAUGGGCGAAAGCCUGACGCAGCCAUGCCGCGUGAAUGAUGAAGGUCUUAGGAUUGUAAAAUUCUUUUACCAGGGACGAUAAUGACGGUACCUGGAGAAAAAGCCCCGGCUAACUUCGUGCCAGCCGCCGCUGUAACAC
rnacentral:rRNA from 1 species